GAUGAACGCUGGCGGCGUGCCUAAUACAUGCAAGUCGAGCGAACGGACGAGAAGCUUGCUUCUCUGAUGUUAGCGGCGGACGGGUGAGUAACACGUGGAUAACCUACCUAUAAGACUGGGAUAACUUCGUGAAACCGGAGCUAAUACCGGAUAAUAUUUUGAACCGCAUGGUUCAUAAGUGAAAGACGGUCUUGCUGUCACUUAUAGAUGGAUCCGCGCUGCAUUAGCUAGUUGGUAAGGUAACGGAUUACCAAGACAACGAUGCAUAGCCGACCUGAGAGGGUGAUCGGCCACACUAGACCUGAGACACGGUCCAGACUACUACGGGAGGCAGCAGUAGGGAAUCUUCCGCAAUGGGCGAAAGCCUGACGGAGAAACGCCGCGUGAGUGAUGAAAGUCUUCGGAUCGUAAAUCUCUGUUAUUAGGGAAGAACAUAUGUGUAAGUAACUGUGGACAGCUUGACGGUACCUAAUCAGAAAGCCACGGCUAACUACGUG
rnacentral:rRNA from 1 species